CACGACAAGAGAGGCAAAAUAGAGCAGAAAGAAUGGCUUUUCUAACUCGAGGAAACCAGUGGGGGGUGUGAAGGGAAACAUGGAGAGGGCGCUGCGGUACUCGGUGAUUGCCACACCCGAUCCCACCCACACAACCAAAGCUUAGCUUGCCAUGUACAAACAACUGCAGAAGCUUCGUCCCACCUUCCACCUUUGCUUGGGUCCGAAGGAGGCAGAGAGGACAGCAGAAGAGAGUCCUGGGGGAAUCAAUGGCUUUGCUGUCCUGCAAUUCCCACCAUGCUCAUCCAGGAAGGAGGCGUUGCGCCCGCUGGAACAAACAUCUGGAUAAGUACGUCAUGCUGUGGUGCACAAUGGCAAAGGAGGUACAAUAGCAAGGACUGCAUUCGCCUUUCCAUGCCUCCCACCAACAUCUGUUGACAUGAUCUAACUUGCAGGUGGAACAGGUGGUGUAUGUUACAAUGUGCCACAGACAUCCGACUACAACACGAAACAUGGCACACAACGUACCUAGGGAGCAUAAAGGAUAAGAAGCAACAACAGGAGUGCUCUUUUUUCUCCUCUCUUCCUUGCUUUUCACUGGACAAAUACACACAAAAGAAGUAGAAAAUGAAGGAUAAUAAACCUAUUUAGCCGCUAGCCCAACCCAAUAUACUCGAAGUCGGAUCCUAAUCCAUGCAUGUCUGCAAUCUAUUUGAAUGCUGAGAUCUUCAACAACAAGAUGAUAAAUGGCUGUUUACAUCUUUGAUUAAGAUUAUGAGUGAUGAUGCCUUUCCAGAGAAUCACGAGGACUGCAUGCGAAGAAAGUGCGUGUUAGAUUGUACCCCCACCCGAACACUGAGAAGCUUCCUCUGUCG
rnacentral:lncRNA from 1 species